rnacentral:rRNA from 1 species
GACGAACGCUGGCGGCGUGCUUAACACAUGCAAGUCGAACGGUAAGGCCCUUCGGGGUACACGAGUGGCGAACGGGUGAGUAACACGUGGGUGAUCUGCCCUGCACUUCGGGAUAAGCCUGGGAAACUGGGUCUAAUACCGGAUAGGACCACUGCCUGCAUGGGUGGUGGUGGAAAGCUUUUGCGGUGUGGGAUGUGCCCGCGGCCUAUCAGCUUGUUGGUGGGGUGAUGGCCUACCAAGGCGACGACGGGUAGCCGGCCUGAAAGGGUGACCGGCCACACUGGGACUGGGAUACGGCCCAGACUCCUACGGGAGGCAGCAGUGGGGAAUAUUGCACAAUGGGCGCAAGCCUGAUGCAGCGACGCCGCGUGAGGGAUGACGGCCUUCGGGUUGUAAACCUCUUUCAGCACCGACGAAGCGCAAGUGACGGUAGGUGCAGAAGAAGGACCGGCCAACUACGUGCCAGCCGCCGCGGUAA